GACGAACGCUGGCGGCGUGCUUAACACAUGCAAGUCGAACGAUGACGCCCGAGCUUGCUCGGUCUGAUUAGUGGCGAACGGGUGAGUAACACGUGAGCAACCUGCCCUUCACUCUGGGAUAACCUCGGGAAAUCGGGGCUAAUACCGGAUAUGAGCUCCUGUCGCAUGGCGGGUGCUGGAAAGUUUUUCGGUGAAGGAUGGGCUCGCGGCCUAUCAGUUUGUUGGUGAGGUAGUGGCUCACCAAGGCGAUGACGGGUAGCCGGCCUGAGAGGGCGACCGGCCACACUGGGACUGAGACACGGCCCAGACUCCUACGGGAGGCAGCAGUGGGGAAUAUUGCACAAUGGGCGAAAGCCUGAUGCAGCGACGCCGCGUGAGGGAUGACGGCCUUCGGGUUGUAAACCUCUUUCAGCAGGGAAGAAGCGAAAGUGACGGUACCUGCAGAAGAAGCGCCGGCUAACUACGUG
rnacentral:rRNA from 1 species